AUUGCUUCUAGAACAUUCUGGCAACUACGAAUUCGCUAACUAGUUGCUUCUGGCAGUUUAUCGUUGAUUCGAUUUUGUUCUAUCAUCCGUGUUCGUCACAAUACAUAUACAAGUUUUUAUAAAAUUAAUAUAUUCACAGAGAUGAAAAUAAAUCAGUUGGUCCCUCUGGUGGCAGCCCAUCGAUUUCGGAAUACUAUAGGAAAAUUAAUUGUAACCACGGCAGCUAUAAAAACUUCAAUUUGGAUAACUUGGUGGAGGAGAGAACAGUAAAUAUUUUAUUAACUAAUUUAUUACGUAAAAAGUAAAUGUAUCAGUAAACAUUCAAAAUGAAUUUUUGGCGGAAUUCCGGGCGGCGAAUUGGAGAAUAGCAACAGUUUUGAUUUGGUAAGGACUUCAAUUUGUAUCGUUGUUUUGAUAAAAUUUAUAUACUGUAAAUAAUAAAAUAACUAAAAACGAAAAUUUAAAAA